UGAAGCAUGGCGUAGCGGCUUGAGCACUGGACUAAGACUCUGGAGGCCAGGGUUCGAUUCCCUGCUCAGCCA